rnacentral:lncRNA from 1 species
GGGACAUCAUAGGAGGCCGCCAGGCUGGGGGAGGACAGCACAUCCCGUAGGGGGACGCGGGCCUCUCCCAAAAACCGAUUCCUCCCCACAGUCUCAUGGUCCUUAACCACAACACAGAGCUCAGAUCCCAGGUCCAAAGCAACGCCCUUCAGAUCCCAUUCAAAGCCCUCGUUCCAUACGGGGUUGAUGCUGUUCUUGAUGACCUUCGUCUUCU